GGCAACGAUGAAGAGUGCUUUUUUUUAUAAUUUCUGACACCCCUUGUAUGAGAAAGCUUUUCUUUGAGCAGAGGUAGCAAACUCUCUGAUUC
rnacentral:snoRNA from 1 species